CAGAUUAGCUCCUCUUAAUUGUCAAAAUGUCAUUUUAGAAAGCUUACCAUUGCAAGUUUCCUGAAAACCCGAAGUUGGGCCCGAGUAUGAAGCAGUCCAACUUUCUGUCAUAUGUUUCUAUUCACAUCCCCUGACAGCUGCAUGGUUGGGGUGGGGGGGGGGGGGGAGGUUGACUUCGUUUUCCAUGUGGGGCUAUGGAGAACACUUGCAGCUAUGUUGCAGCUUUCUUUGUUAGGCUAAUACCCUUUGCCUUCUCCAUUUCGGCCUCCUUCUGGGCUUUCUUCCUCUCUAGUUCUGCUUGCUUACAGUUCUCAUCAUGUGCUCUCCGAAACAUCCUCACAAAAUUUAAGAGAGUUGCAGUUACUUGUUCAAAUGAUGCAAC